rnacentral:rRNA from 1 species
UACGUAGGGUGCAAGCGUUAAUCGGAAUUACUGGGCGUAAAGCGUGCGCAGGCGGUUCUCCAAGUCCGUUGUGAAAGCCCCGGGCUCAACCUGGGAAUGGCAGUGGAAACUAGGGGACUGGAAUCUGGCAGAGGGGGGUGGAAUGCCGCGUGUAGCAGUGAAAUGCGUAGAUAUGCGGAGGAACACCGAUGGCGAAGGCAAUCCCCCUGGGCCUGCACUGACGCUCAUGCACGAAAGCGUGGGGAGCAAACAGG